GCAGCCCUCCUUUACUGGUCCAGUCGACCGCACGUUUUAAACGUGACAAUUUUCUGCAAACGCCGCCGGGGCCGUUGCCAUAACACCCAUUCCAGUAUCACUAUGGACUAAUCAAUGUACAAUUGUAGUUCGGUAACAGUAUUGUGGUUACCGCCAGUGACGCAAACAGCUCAUUUACUUUCGGAGAAUAUAAUAUUAAAAAAUGCGA